AUUAAACCUCAUAGGAAAGCAUUACAGCAAUUAGCCCCCUCCCCAAACCCAUUUCAAUACCAGGGAGCUAAGGGAACUAUAGUGUAAGGAAUACAGAUUUGAAUUAGUAAAGUUCUAUAACAUGAAUAUUUGACCUCAUCUUAUUGUGCAAUUUUCCAUAAAAGUCAUCAAUAUAAAAACAGAUUACUAACCUUUGAAGUAGUUGUAUCUGCC